AUUGAACGCUGGCGGCAGGCCUAACACAUGCAAGUCGAGCGGAUGAAGGGAGCUUGCUCCUGGAUUCAGCGGCGGACGGGUGAGUAAUGCCUAGGAAUCUGCCUGGUAGUGGGGGAUAACGUCCGGAAACGGGCGCUAAUACCGCAUACGUCCUGAGGGAGAAAGUGGGGGAUCUUCGGACCUCACGCUAUCAGAUGAGCCUAGGUCGGAUUAGCUAGUUGGUGGGGUAAAGGCCUACCAAGGCGACGAUCCGUAACUGGUCUGAGAGGAUGAUCAGUCACACUGGAACUGAGACACGGUCCAGACUCCUACGGGAGGCAGCAGUGGGGAAUAUUGGACAAUGGGCGAAAGCCUGAUCCAGCCAUGCCGCGUGUGCGAAGAAGGUCUUCGGAUUGUAAAGCACUUUAAGUUGGGAGGAAGGGCAGUAAGUUAAUACCUUGCUGUUUUGACGUUACCAACAGAAUAAGCACCGGCGAACUUCGU
rnacentral:rRNA from 1 species